rnacentral:rRNA from 1 species
CCUACGGGAGGCAGCAGUGGGGAAUUUUGGACAAUGGGCGCAAGCCUGAUCCAGCAAUGCCGCGUGCAGGAUGAAGGCCUUCGGGUUGUAAACUGCUUUUGUACGGAACGAAACGGUCUGCUCUAAUACAGUGGGCUAAUGACGGUACCGUAAGAAUAAGCACCGGCUAACUACGUGCCAGCAGCCGCGGUAAUACGUAGGGUGCGAGCGUUAAUCGGAAUUACUGGGCGUAAAGCGUGCGCAGGCGGUUAUAUAAGACAGAUGUGAAAUCCCCGGGCUCAACCUGGGACCUGCAUUUGUGACUGUAUAGCUAGAGUGCGGCAGAGGGGGAUGGAAUUCCGCGUGUAGCAGUGAAAUGCGUAGAUAUGCGGAGGAACACCGAUGGCGAAGGCAAUCCCCUGGGCCUGCACUGACGCUCAUGCACGAAGACGGUGGGGAGGACAACAGGAGUAGAUACCUACGGUAGUACCGACCGACCCGUAACCGACUGUCACUGGUUGGUUGGGUUCGUUCU